rnacentral:tRNA from 1 species
GUUCUCGUGGCCUAGUGGUUAAGGCGAUAGGCACGAAAUCGUUUGGGAUAUUCCCGCGCAGGUUCGAAUCCUGCCGACAACG